AAAGGAUCCCAUGACUGGCGGCAGUGGAAUUAACCACAGGGGAGUGGGAUCAAUAGGGAAUGCCGACCGCCUGGGCAAAAUAA
rnacentral:ncRNA from 2 species